UAUAACUCGCCGCCUCUGCCGCCCGCCCGCCCGCCUGCCUCGUGACCUCGUCUAUCCCAUCUAAACCAACCGCCGCCCCGCCCCGCCCACCCAAACCCCUCCGCCUCCGCCGCCGCGAUGAGCUACUACGGCCAGCAGCAGCCGCCCGUCGGCGUGCCUCCCCCGCAAGGGUACCCCGGGAAGGACGCGUACCCACCGGCCGGCUACCCGCCCGCGGGGUACCCGCCGCCGGCGCAGGGCUACCCGCCGCAGGGGUACCCUCCCGCGGGGUACCCUCCGCAGCAGGGGUACCCGCAGCAGGGCUACCCGCCGCCGUACGCGCAGCCGCCGCCGCCGCAGCGCCCGCAGAGCAGCGGAGGGCCCUCCUUCAUGGAGGGAUGGUACGUGCCGCCGCCCCCCUUCCAUCCUCCUCUCAUCACUCCGAUCCAGUUCAUGUUCGCCGUCGCGGAAUUCCGAUGAGACCGUCCGCCGCGCCGGCGCGGCGGCGGUCGCUAGUGGCCAAGUGGGUGGGGGAGUUUUGUUGUGUGGCGCGGGUGCAGUUGGCCAGCGCCAAUCGGCGGGCGGUUGGGCGGACGUGGUGGUGGCGGCGGGCCCGGCCUCCGCGCCCCCGUGAGCUGUUGACCGCGCCCCGGUGCUCGCGAAGCCGGACGCGUGGUCCCCACUCCGCCCACGAUCUUUUUUUUUUUUUUGAUAAUCGCCCACGAUCUUUUGGGUUUAACCAAACCAGGCUCCAGGUCUCGCGGUUUCAGCUUUGGCUUUUUGGCCAGAGUGGGCGGGCAUAUCCCAACGCCCUGCUGGAUGAAGUUGACCUUCGACCUGACGCGCCUAGCUACUACUAGGUUUCAAUUUACCUGAAUUUUUAGCUGAUACACUACGCUGAUUAGCUGCAAAAGGGCCGUAGACAAUUGAUGAAACGAUUUGUGACAGCUGCAUUUUAAAAGGUUGAGAAUACUUGCUGCGUUUAUGCGGGGCCUGUCGACACAUCGUUGUUUAGUUACCUAUGUUGACUGCUGCAUUGUGUUUGCCGCUUGGGGUUAGACACAAGGUAACCCACUCCCUGCAAAACCAAGGGAAUCGAAGGAGUCUGGAGGUGGACUAUUUGGUUUGAUUUUUAUUUUUCGAGGAACCUGAUUUGGAUAUGUUUUUCCUAAUUUAUACUGCCGGCCAAAAAAUCUUUCGGGUGAUACACCAUGGAACUCAUGAUCAGUGUUUAGCUGUUACUAGCCAACUGGAUUAUGCGGAAUUGCGGAUGGAUACUGAUUGGCCACACGGUCAAUUAUAUGCACUAGUUGUGGAGUAUUAUACAAGUGCCAGUGUACCAAGCAACUCUUCUUUGUUUUGAUCCACCUAAGCAAGAAGCUAACCAUUUUAUUUGUAGUUUUGCACCAGCAAAAUGCA